rnacentral:rRNA from 1 species
GUGGGGAAUCUUAGACAAUGGGCGCAAGCCUGAUCUAGCCAUGCCGCGUGAGCGAUGAAGGCCUUAGGGUUGUAAAGCUCUUUCGUGGGGGAAGAUAAUGACUGUACCCCAAGAAGAAGCCCCGGCUAACUCCGUGCCAGCAGCCGCGGUAAUACGGAGGGGGCUAGCGUUGUUCGGAAUUACUGGGCGUAAAGCGCACGUAGGCGGACCAGAAAGUCAGAGGUGAAAGCCCGGGGCUCAACCCCGGAACUGCCUUUGAAACUCCUGGUCUUGAGGUCGAGAGAGGUGGGUGGAAUUCCGAGUGUAGAGGUGAAAUUCGUAGAUAUUCGGAGGAACACCAGUGGCGAAGGCGGCCCACUGGCUCGAUACUGACGCUGAGGUGCGAAAGCGUGGGGAGCAAACAGGAUUAGAAACCCGAGUAGUCC